rnacentral:rRNA from 1 species
GAUGAACGCUGGCGGCGUGCCUAAUACAUGCAAGUCGAGCGAACAGACGAGGAGCUUGCUCCUCUGACGUUAGCGGCGGACGGGUGAGUAACACGUGGAUAACCUACCUAUAAGACUGGGAUAACUUCGGGAAACCGGAGCUAAUACCGGAUAAUAUAUUGAACCGCAUGGUUCAAUAGUGGAAGACGGUUUUGCUGUCACUUAUAGAUGGAUCCGCGCCGCAUUAGCUAGUUGGUAAGGUAACGGCUUACCAAGGCAACGAUGCGUAGCCGACCUGAGAGGGUGAUCGGCCACACUGGAACUGAGGCACGGUCCAGACUCCUACGGGAGGCAGCAGUAGGGAAUCUUCCGCAAUGGGCGAAAGCCUGACGGAGCAACGCCGCGUGAGUGAUGAAGGUCUUCGGAUCGUAAAACUCUGUUAUUAGGGAAGAACAAAUGUGUAAGUAACUAUGCACGUCUUGACGGUACCUAAUCAGAAAGCCACGGCUAACUACGUG